rnacentral:rRNA from 1 species
GGGGAAUUUUCCGCAAUGGGCGAAAGCCUGACGGAGCAAUACCGCGUGAGGGAAGACUGCCUAUGGGUUGUAAACCUCCUUUUUCAGGGAGGAAUAAAAUGACGUGUACCCUGAAGAAUAAGCAUCGGCUAACUCCGUGCCAGCAGCCGCGGUAAGANCGGAGGAUGCAAGUGUUAUCCGGAAUCACUGGGCGUAAAGCGUCUGUAGGUGGUUUGAUAAGUCAACUGUUAAAUCUUGAGGCUCAACUUCAAAAUCGCAGUCGAAACUAUUAGACUAGAGUAUAGUAGAGGUAAAGGGAAUUUCCAGUGGAGCGGUGAAAUGCGUAGAUAUUGGAAAGAACACCGAUGGCGAAAGCACUUUACUGGGCUAUUACUAACACCUCAGAGACGAAAGCUAGGGUAGCAAAUGGGAUUAGAUACCCCAGUAGUC